CGUGGAGAACCUGCCGUAUACUGGGGGAUAACACUUAGAAAUAGGUGCUAAUACCGCAUAAGCGCACAGCUUCGCAUGAAGCAGUGUGGAAAACAAAAAGCUAAAGCUUUUGGUGGUAUACGAUGGAUCCGCGUCUGAUUAGCUUGUUGGCGGGGUAAAGACCCACCAAGGCGACGAUCAGUAGCCGGCCUGAGAGAGUGAACGGCCACAUUGGGACUGAGACACGGCCCAAACUCCUACGGAAGGCAGCAG
rnacentral:rRNA from 1 species